GAGUAGAAAGAGCCAGAAGGUGGGGAAAUGAAUGUUUAAUGUUUGAAACUCCCUGGGACUGGCCAGCUGCUCAAAAAGUGAGCGUCCACUGUUUUCACCAUCAGAAAAAGAAAAACAAGCAUUAAAAAUAAACAAAGCACACAUCCCCUUCCUUGGAGGAAAGAAGAUAAUCCCCUGGCUUCUGAGAGCUCACGUAUCACCUGGCAGAUUAAAUAUGAGAAUUGUAUUACCUGAAUGGAGAAAGAAGGUAACUGAACUGUACAAACUCAUUUAGAAGUGUAUGGAUUCUGUGUUGCAAUAUAUAUUGA
ensembl:lncRNA